GUAACUCUAUAAAUUCCCUUCUGCCCCUUGAGUAGGUCCUUCCCCCGCCCCCAGCAGAAUCUGUUUCCCAUCCUUAGAGACCAUUCCAGAAUGUUGUGCAAGUGGAGUCAUACGGUUUGCAGCCUUGCGUUCGGUUUCUUUCACUCGGCCUCAUUGUGCAAGAGUUUGAGCAGUAGCUGAUGCGGUCAGACGCAUGUUUGGGGGUGACUGGCACCUCUGAUCAACGAGUGGGAGAGGCAGGGGUGGAGACGGGGAGGCCCUGAUGGGAAGCGUGACAUGGCGAGACUCACAGUGACCUCAUGGUAAGUGACAUGCCAAAUGCCUCUGUGCCGUCUUGUGGAAUCCUGACACAGUCCUGUCGCAUGGGGACCAUUCUUCCCUCUUCUGCAGGUGAGGAUGUAGAGAACAGAGAAGAUAGGACACUUACUCACGGGGUCGCUCAUCCAGGAAGUGGCGAAGUGCAGAGUGGGCCCAGGAGCUGAGACUGGCAACCACAGGGAGGCGCGCUGUCCCUAUAGAGAAUCUGACGCGCUCCGAGGGACGGCCAUGGGUCAGGCGUUUUAAGGGCGCGUGCCCUCGGCCAUUGUGGUUCAGCAUCUAGAACUUUACCCUGAGGAAUCAUGGAUGUAAACAAGCGUUCAUUGGAAAAGGUGUCUCCCAGUGUUUAUAACAGAAAACCUAGAUAGAAGCUGAAAGCCACUGACAGACGGUCAGAUGAGGAGUCUCUGAAAAUAAUAGUGUGAAACGUGACUAAUGCAGUGGAAGACCAACAUAACACAUAAAUGCCAAACCCGUCCCUACCGUGGUGCGUACAGCAAGGACCCAGUUCGCCCAGAGAGCACUCGAGACCGUGUCCAGAGUGCUGGUCAUCAGGAAAAUGGAAACCGCGGCUGCUCUCUCCUCCGUGGGAAGCGAUAGAAGCGAGCAAGCGCGUGGUGGAAACUCGCACUUUCUGAAAUAACUGUGCUUUGACUCGGAGGGGAAACAGGAAGCCCUUCUAUCUGUUUAGGUGAGUUUUUAUCUCUGCCGGUGGGGCCUGUCCUUUUAAGUUAUGUUUCUGCAAAAGUACUGGUUGAAUCUCUAGUGUGAACAGGAAGUCAGAUAUGCUGACUAACUUUUCCUUUAUUUUAACGGCGUUUUUUAUUGUUUUGAAAACGAAGGCAGAAAGCAGAGAGGCCGAAGCUGCCGCCUUGAGCCCUGGGGGCCU
rnacentral:lncRNA from 1 species